rnacentral:tRNA from 1 species
GGGGAUGUAUCUCAUACAGUAGAGCGCUCGCUUUGCGUGCGAGAGGUACGAGGUUCGAUACCCCACAUCUCCA